rnacentral:rRNA from 1 species
GACGUAGGAUGCAAGCGUUGUCCGGAUUUAUUGGGCGUAAAGAGUUCGUAGGUGGUUUGCUAAGUCUGAUGUUAAAUACUGGAGCUCAACUUCGGGACUGCAUUGGAUACUGGCAGACUUGAGUGUGGUAGAGGCAAUCGGAAUUCCAGGUGUAGCGGUGAAAUGCGUAGAUAUCUGGAGGAACACCGGUGGCGAAGGCGGUUCUCUGGGCAUGUCCUGACGCUGAGGAGCGAAAGUGUGGGGAGCGAACAGG